UACGGAGGGAGCUAGCGUUGUUCGGAAUUACUGGGCGUAAAGCGCACGUAGGCGGCUUUGUAAGUUAGAGGUGAAAGCCCGGGGCUCAACCCCGGAACUGCCUUUAAGACUGCAUCGCUUGAAUCCAGGAGAGGUGAGUGGAAUUCCGAGUGUAGAGGUGAAAUUCGUAGAUAUUCGGAAGAACACCAGUGGCGAAGGCGACUCGCUGGACAGACAUUGACGCUGAGGUGCGAAAGCGUGGGGAGCAAACAGG
rnacentral:rRNA from 1 species